rnacentral:snRNA from 1 species
UUUUCUUUUCUUAAAAUUUUAGUAAAAUUGAAACGAUACAGAGAAGAUUAGCACGGCCCCUGCGCAAGGAUAACACGCAAAUUCGUGGAGUGUUCCAUAUUUUC